rnacentral:rRNA from 1 species
GGACCGCAGGCGGGGUAAAGCGGAGGGGGCGAGAGUUGUUCGGAAUUACGGGGCGUAAAGCGGAAGUAGGACGAUAUUUCAGUCAGGGGUGACAUCCCGGAGCUUAACCCCGGAACUGCCUUUGAUACUGGGUAGCCUGAGUAUGGAAGAGGUAAGUGGAAUUGCGAGUGUAGAGGUGAAAUUAGUAGAUAUUCGCAGGAACACCAGUGGCGAAGGCGGCUUACUGGUCCAUUACUGACGCUGAGGUGCGAAAGCGUGGGGAGCAAACAGGAUUAGAUACCCCGGUAGUCAGGGUACGUAG